CGCAGCUACGCAGUGCAAUGUCCGGACGCCCAACCCACUCCCCCCUUCUCCCCUUGUUUAUUUGCCCUGCAGAAAACAGCAAAGUUACCAACUUUGCCAGCAGUGAGCUGUACGAAGGGGAGAAGGAAACCGGGGUGCCAGGGAGCAGGAAGGUCAGGGGAAGAGGAUCGCCAGGGGCAAGGAAGCCGGGGCCAAGAGUGCAAGUACUGCCUUGAAAUGCCACAGAACUGCAGGAAACCAGAAGGAUGGCACCCGGCUGCCGGAGCAUGUCUUGUGUAGACGUGGAGAACAGAAGCCUACUGAAAUGUGAAAGGAAGGCAAGAAAAGAAGGCAACUGUGGGAAGGAAGAGGCAGAUGCAAGAGGGAGAAGCAUACGGCGCUGGAAAUGAUGUAGCGGAAGCACUGCUGAGAGUGGAGGAGAAAACCAGAAGAGCGUUCAUCCCAGGAAAGCAAUGGGAACCCAGCGUGAGAUGCAGUUCUGGAGGAGGGGAAGGACGGACGCAGUGGAGAAGAGGAGAAAUGAGACAGGCCAGAUGGGUUUCAGCUGCUGCAGUGAGAGAGGAGGGCACAAAGAUUUAAAGCAAUGCCAAAGGAAGAUAAAAGCAGGUAGCACAAACUGGAAAAGUCUAUUCUCCUGCAGAAAUUACAGCAGGAAAAGGCCACCGUUCUUUUUCCACAGAGAUGUGCUAGAGAAUGGAGAAUGAGAGCCUCGUGGAUUUUAUUUUACAGCCUUCAGUUUGACCUGAAAACUCUAGAUUAUUCCCAAGCAGAUUGCAGUGUCAGGGAUGAGCAUGGGGGUUGGUUUUGUUAAGACUCUCUCAUUUCUUGUGCUGUACUCACAUCUGUGAUAUUUAUGGGUAAAAAUAAUUCGGUACAAAUAUAGUUGUGUCUGUCUUUAAGAAAUCAAAGUUGUUGUGAUGCCUGGGGCUGUGAUGGAGAGAGCGUUAGAGAUGCACAGGCAGAAAGCUGCCGCUGUAGGGAGGUGAAGGAAUCCGGAGUUAAAUAAAGCAACGUACUCCAGCAUCACGCUUCCACUCAGCCUCUCUCCGCCACUCUCGCACUAAAUCAGUGUGCGCUCCCCACAGCCCCCUCAGAUAUAUUAAUUAGUGCAACAACCUAACAAUGGGAGCGGAGCAUCGUGUUUUGGCGGUGAUAAGCCAAGCCUUUCUGCCUGAUCUAAGGCAGGCUGCCUCAUACCGAGCUUUCAGCUGCUGUUGCAGUAACGGAUAGAAGCGGAUGGUGGAAAAAAGAGGAAGCUGGGAUCUCUCCGGGGGGAGAUGGGAGGCUGCAAGGCGCUCACUGUGCGCGGCACAGCGUGAGCCAAAGCGCAGACAUCCCCCACUGGAGGCGAAGCAGCGAGCUCUCCAGAGAGCUCCUGCCGCAGCCUGCCUGCUGCU